rnacentral:rRNA from 1 species
AGUAACGCGUGAGUAACCUGCCUUACACAAGGGGAUAGCCUUUGGAAACGAAGAAUAAUACCCUAUAAAACCAUAAAAGCACAUGCUAGAAUGGUCAAAGUGAUAGCGGUGUAAGAUGGACUUGCGUCUGAUUAGCUAGUUGGUGAGAUAAAAGCUCACCAAGGCAACGAUCAGUAGCCGGCUUGAGAGAGUGUACGGCCACAUUGGGACUGAGACACGGCCCAG